rnacentral:tRNA from 1 species
GAUCAGGUAGCAGAGAGCGUUGGCUUGGUAUAUCCUUCAAAAAGCCAAAGGUCGCGGGUUCAAAUCCCGCCCGGGGCU